CUCGGCCGUCAAACGCCUUAGCGCCAAUGGUACUCUGUCUUAAGACAUGGGAGAGUAGGUCGUCGCCAGGC
rnacentral:rRNA from 1 species